rnacentral:rRNA from 1 species
GAUGAACGCUGGCGGCGUGCCUAAUACAUGCAAGUCGAGCGAACGGACGAGAAGCUUGCUUCUCUGAUGUUAGCGGCGGACGGGUGAGUAACACGUGGAUAACCUACCUAUAAGACUGGGAUAACUUCGGGAAACCGGAGCUAAUACCGGAUAAUAUUUUGCACCGCAUGGUUCAAAAGUGAAAGACGGUCUUGCUGUCACUUAUAGAUGGAUCCGCGCUGCAUUAGCUAGUUGGUAAGGUAACGGCUUACCAAGGCAACGAUGCAUAGCCGACCUGAGAGGGGGAUCGGCCACACUGGAACUGAGACACGGUCCAGACUCCUACGGGAGGCAGCAGUAGGGAAUCUUCCGCAAUGGGCGAAAGCCUGACGGAGCAACGCCGCGUGAGUGAUGAAGGUCUUCGGAUCGUAAAACUCUGUUAUUAGGGAAGAACAUAUGUGUAAGUAACUGUGCACAUCUUGACGGUACCUAAUCAGAAAGCCACGGCUAACUACGUG